rnacentral:rRNA from 1 species
GACAGAGGCCCCGAGCGUUAGGCGGAAUCACUGGGCUUAAAGCGCGUGUAGGCGGAUCGUUAAGUGUCUUGUGAAAUCCCACGGCUCAACCGUGGAACUGCUGGGCAUACUGGCGAUCUUGGGCCACUCAGGGGUUGCCGGAACAAGCGGUGGAGCGGUGAAAUGCGUAGAUAUCGCGUGGAACGCCGAAGGUGAAGACAGGCAACUGGGAGUGCGCCGACGCUGAGACGCGAAAGCCAGGGGAGCGAACGGG